rnacentral:rRNA from 1 species
UACAGAGGUGGCAAGCGUUGUUCGGAAUUACUGGGCGUAAAGGGCGCGUAGGCGGCCCGUCAAGUCCCGUGUGAAAGCCCCCCGGCUCAACCGGGGAACUGCACGGGAAACUAGCAGGCUUGAGUUCGGGAGAGGGAAGCGGAAUUUCGGGUGUAGCGGUGAAAUGCGUAGAUAUCUGGAGGAACACCGGUGGCGAAGGCGGCAUCCUGGACCAAUAUUGACGCUGAGGAGCGAAAGCCAGGGGAGCAAACGGG